rnacentral:lncRNA from 1 species
CUCACUUUAAGGACUAUCACAAGAAGAAUGAUAAGCAUAAGAGCUUAUCGAUCGGGUGGAGUGUGACAUAGGCAUUUAUAUCGCUUCUAUUAGGUGGAAACCAUUAUCACUUUGGUUGGGGAGAGUGAUGUGGUGGUAGAUGAUUAUCCCAAUAACUGUGAAUAUGUGCUUCUACAAGGGGUGUUCUUGACCUUAGCCCUUAUGAAACAUUUAUCGUAUGUGUUUCGGGUUUGAAACACGAUGUAUGGUCUGUGAUCCCAAUUUUAUUGGUUACCUUGAUUACUUUGACACCCAAUAAGUUUCGUAUUAUAUUUCAUAUGCCUCAACCAAUGAAUGAAAUAAUUAUCAAUAAGAUCUAAGGACUUAUCUCGGCCCAUUUAUUUGCUUACCAUAAUCCUCUUUUAGUGUGUGAUUUUUGAGUAUGAAAGUGGGAAAAAUGUGUCUUGUUCUUUAUGGGUGUGAUUGAGAAGCAACUGAAGUCAAUAUAUUGGUUGUGGGUUGGAGCCAUUUAGACUGGUUGAUUGGUAGAGAAAGGUAUUGUGAAAUUGAAUCUGAAAACGCCUAUUUGACAAUCCUUGCUAGCUUUCGUAACAAUUGGUAUUAGAGCGUCACAGUGGUGGAUUUGGCUUGACAGAUUUGUUCUUCGUACGUUCGAGAUUCGAUCAUGGUUGCUGUAAUUGUUGAAGACCUUAGGACGAAUAGUGUUAGUUUUCUGUUUUAGGUUAUACAGUGGAAGACAGAUUUGUUCUUCACAUAUUCGGGAUUCGAUUGUGG